GGUCCGUUGGUCUAGUUGGUUUAGGACGCCUGCCUGUCACGCAGGAGAUCACGAGUUCGAGUCUUGGAGCAGUCUG
rnacentral:tRNA from 1 species